GGGGAGGCCGGGGGCCGCGCCGGGGGUGCCAGGGUCCCGCACACUGGAGUGGCGGCGCCUCCCCGUGGUGUCCCCGCGCCUGGGUCCUUUUUGGGACUGGCUCUGGCACUCCCGGGCACUCAGUCCAGUACAGAAGUCCAGCAGGAGGCUUCCAGGUCGUGCUCCUCCGAGGGGUAAAGAGAGGGAAGGGGCCUCACAAACACACCCAGGAGCAUCUGGCGAUAGAGAAUGAGAAGACAAGAGAGUGACGGGCGGAGUCAGGGGUCUAAUCUCCCUGCGAGCUACCUGAUCUCCCCGGGCCUCUGUUUUGUCAUCUGUGAAAUGACGGGUUGGACGGCCUUGUCUCUGAGGCCUCAUCCAGUUCCACGUACAGGAAGAUAUAAAUGCAAAUGUGCAAAAAAAAGGAAGAAGGAAAGAUGGACCAAGUUCACCUGUUUGGUAUGUACGAGGUCCACAGCUCUGCAGAAAGGGGAGAAACCCGGUAGACAGAGGGCCUGAUGCACCAUAGGAUUGAGUACAUUUUCCAUUGCUUAAUUAUGUGUGAGACUUUCCCUUUUAAAAUAAGUCUAUGGUCUGUGAAAUAGUCUGUAUAAAAAUAUGAAGCCUUGAAUAGGUCAGUCAUAGCAGUUCUGUCUUGAACAGAACUCAAUUUUACAAGCAUGGAGUGACAGUAUCGUUCCACUGCAAACUCUUUUAUUUCCACAACAUACUAGAUCUCAUUCUGCUUCAGUAGCGUUACCUCUUAAGUAUGACUAUUAAUCAUUUCAUUAAUAUGAAAAUCUGGGAAAGCCCACAUAAAAUGCCAACAUAAUUGCUGGCUACCAAGAUAAAAUUAUUGAGGCAGAUUCUAACCCCAAUGGUUCAAUGAUAACAAAACUACAAAACAUGGGACAUCAAAUUCAUUAACUAAAAUUAUUAAGUCACCUCUUCCAUCAGAUGAUGAGAUUUUUCUUAUUCACUGUUUCCCAUCAGGGAAAAAAGAAUCCUCCCACCUCAUGCCUUUUUUUUUUUUUUUCUGAUGCCAGGAAUUAGUAUUCAUUGCCUCUUUAAGAGGCCAAUACAAAAAAAGGUAGAAAAAGCCCUAGCCCAGGAGUUGGGAUUGCCAGUUCUAGUCCCUGGGUUGCCUUGCUGGGGGUGCCUAAGUCAGUGCCAUAACCUCAGUUUUUCUAAUCUAUGUAACAUGGGGAUAGAGUAUAUGAUUUCCAAGGUCACUUUCACCUCUGUGAUUGAGCCUCUAAGAAAGCCAAAUCUUUUCACUUUGUAAUCAUGACAUUUUUAAAAGAUGGAGUUAAUAUGAAUGGGAAACUUUUUUUUUUUUUGAGUCAGGGACUUGCUAUUUUGCCCAGGCUGGUCUUGAACUCCUGAACUCAAGUGAUCCUCUCAUCUCAGCCUCUCAAAUAGCUGAGACUACAGGCACACACCACUGCACCUGGCUAAAGACUAUAUUCUU
rnacentral:lncRNA from 1 species